CAUAUUCUCAAAACAUAUCUGCACCCUUCGGGUCACAAUCUUCAUGUCAAACCACCAAACAAGGGAGAUCGUCACUAGUCACUCUCAAUGGAUGACGCCCAAACAUAUAUCCUGGACUCCCGACUCGAUCCGUCAUUUCAGGCCAUAUUUAGUGAAAAGGCUCGUUAUGUCACUCAAUGUGAAGAUAACCAGCACAUAUAGAGCUGUACAGACCAGUUUGGGUAAAGGAACGUAAUCUCCACAACUCGUCUCACUUGAUCGGUCGUGCUGCAUUCUGAUCGCACGGUAAAUCGGAAAGGGAUUACAAGUGGUGGGAGUACGGGUAUGAUUCAUAUGAUGAUGAAAAUAUAGUGGCUAGCAAUUCCAUCGCUCCAUUAUAUAAUAUUAUGAUGUGUCAUCUUAUCAGCCAACACACACACACAACCCGCAAGUCUCACGUCUUGGGGACCAUUACAUGCUUCUUACACGGACAUGUGUUGAUCUUCCCAUCUCUCAUCUGAAUUUUCGGAUAUAGAUCAUCGACUGUCACAGGCCGCCUUCUCGGCACGACGUACUCCCGAAGCCCAGACUUCAAUUCUUGAACAGCUUUGUCAAGGUCCUCGCGAUAAGGUAUCACAAACGUGACUUUUGAGAGGUCUGCUUUCCUCCAUGCUUUCCACAUACUAAAUUUGAACAGACUGUAUAUUUCUCGAAGAAUCUCGACUGUGGGUCUCGUUUUUUCUUCCUGAAACUCGAAAUCAUAAUAUACCGAAGCGCCAUCAGGCGGUGUUGGCAAGCUUACCCCUGGCAAUCGUGGACAGUCAGACGUGUCGCAUAGAUAGUAGUGAAAAACGAAUGUUUGGAGAGGCACGCCAUUUCGUUUAGACAGUCGACCGAGUAAAUCAGUAAUACCUCGGCUGAAUGACCCUAGUGUCAAGGCCGUGUAUAAAUCGCAUGUCCCCAGCAUCGGUAAUGGCAUGUUGGAACAGAAGCUUGUCACGGCGAGCUGCUGAGUGAAGACUUGGUCGAAGAUGAGUCCCCAAGAGACACCGCUAAUGGGUGGCCUCAAAGUCGCGAGGCUUGCAGUGUAUGGGGCUUGGCUGAGAAAACCUUUGGGACCAAUGAAAUCCCACUCCAAGCGGACAUGCUUGACGUUGGGAAAGGCGCAGGUUGACAAGCUGUGGGGAAUACCCCAUAUCUUUGUUGGCUGCUUAGCAUUCAGGAGAUGACUGUGGUUCAGACUCCACCAUGCAAGUUUCUCAGCAGCUUCGGCAUCGCUGAGAGUGACAACCUCAACUAGCUUGAGAGCUUCCGCUUUACGUCUACCAUCCACCGAGCCAGUUCCAAGGUUUUCGCUCUCCUGAACCCAGGGAUAGAUAAGCUGCCCAAUGUUGUUGAUGUUGAUGUUGACAUGGUUAUAGAUAACAGGCAGGAUGCGCUUAUAGUAUUGUCGAUUAAUUAAAAGGUGUUCGAUAUGAACUGGUCUACUAUCGAUAAGAGCAUCGUCAAGAAGGUGGUAUAUCGGUGCGAGAGGCUCUAAUGAGGUAAUGCUUCCUAGAUCUGGAGGGGGGCCCCCCGGUGUAGAAUCAUACUGGUCUCCUACGUGAAGACCGUUGGCGGGGGUUGGCUGGAGUUCUGAAGUCAUCUGGUAAUAUUGAUCAGUUAUCCCACACGCUAUAUAGGGAGACGACGAUAUUUUUGUGUGCUUACCGGAGCUGGCGAAACGCAGAUCUCUUAACGCUCUAUAGCGGUCUUAUGCCUGACGGGUGAAAGAAUACGAGACCUAGCAGGGGCUAGGGACGCAUAAAGUAAUGUUGUACAGAACUACAUUCAGAUCGUUUUGAUUCUGAUAAUAAAACUAUC
rnacentral:sRNA from 1 species